GGAGAAAUUAUCCUUGGUGUGU
rnacentral:miRNA from 8 species